rnacentral:lncRNA from 1 species
GCCAAACAGAAAACUGCACAUCUGGAGACAUUAUUUAAAUUAACCAAAACAAACAGACAAGGAAAAAGAGGUUGCCAAAAUAUAAUUCUGGACAAAUUUAAGACUGGCAAACACAAAUUCACCUUUAAAAUGACAUGUUCUGGAAUGACUCAUAUAAUGUAAUGAACUCGAGUUCUAGUAUAUCUAAACUGCUUCAGCUAAAUCCUCAAUGAAAAAUCUCUGGACUUUUUGAGAAAUACAGAGAAAGUAGUUAACUUCAAAAAAGUGUAACUGCCAAAUACAAAAUUUCAAAGACAAGAAUAAUACUGGAGUGAAAUAUGCAUAUUUACUCAAAGUAAUUAAUACUAACAAAGUAUAAGUGCUACAUCCCAGUCGACUAAAUCAUGACAUUUGUUUUAAAGGUAUUUAAAAUGAGAGUUUCUAAUGCUUUGGUAUUACAAGGUAGCAUAUGACUAAGUGGCAAACGAGCAGUAUGACAGAAUGCCAAGGCUUAGGAUUCUCUGGGGAAGCUCCAGAGGAGGUGGGACAGGAACUUGGUCUUUCAUUAUCCUAUAAUGAUUAUAGGAUCUGGAUCAGUGGGAAAGAAGGAUGUCUCACCAAAUGGAGAAAUGGGAAUGCACAAAGGCACUGAGGUAAUAAUUAACUCCAGGACAUGAAAGGAAAGAAUUAAGACUCACACUUCAAGAUAGAAAGUAAAACAAAUGAGGGAAGCCUCUAAGAUACACAAAUUAUCCUCACUGAAAAAUAACAGAAAAAGAGUUCAGAGGCACUGCAGGUGAAACCGGAAAUGACAAAUACAUAUAGGAAUUGAAAAGAUUUAGACAUCAUUUAAAGGUUUUAGAAGGACAGUCUGAAGCAGAAAAUUAUGAGCGUGUGUUUCAGGAGACAGAAAAAGACAGUCAAUAUUACUUCAAGAUCCACUACCACAGUCAGCAAUAAAUAACUAUACAGUCAAGAUCUCUGGAAUCAUAAAACUCAUGCAAAGACUAAUAAGGGACAUGCUGGAGAUGGUGGCAGAGACAACAGAGCCAAGGCAGAUCUCACCACCACCAGCUGUGACUCCUGGAGCAGAUACUAAACCUCCCUGAGACUUAAUGUCGUCUUCUAUUAAAAAAAAAAGUCUGUAAAUCUGUUAAGAGUAUCAAGUGAAAUUUAACACAGAGGUCUUUAAAAAAUAAAGGUAGAAUAAAAAUGA